UACAGAGGGUGCAAGCGUUGUUCGGAAUUAUUGGGCGUAAAGCGCGUGUAGGCGGCUUUGCAAGUCGGGUGUGAAAUCCCUCAGCUUAACUGAGGAAGUGCGCCCGAAACUGCCGAGCUUGAGUACCGGAGAGGGUGGCGGAAUUCCCGGUGUAGAGGUGAAAUUCGUAGAUAUCGGGAGGAACACCGGUGGCGAAGGCGGCGACCUGGGUAGAUACUGACGCUGAGGUGCGAAAGCGUGGGGAGCAAACAGG
rnacentral:rRNA from 1 species